rnacentral:rRNA from 1 species
AAUUUUUAGAGAGAGGGGAUCAAGAGUACGUGAAACCGCUUAGGGGUUAAGCCCGAUGAACCUGAAUAUCUGAAUUGAGAAAUUCAAUGUUAUUUUCGAAAGAAGAUGGCAUGCACUUUUCUCAUAGUAGGACAUUGCGAUCCAUUAGUAGUCUCUUUGAGACGGUUUAUCAAACGGUCCAGUUAGUUUGUUUAAUCUAUCUGCAAUAUUUUAUAUUGUAUGGUUAAUGCUAAUGGUGUCCUGGUAAACAGCUGAUGGAGCUUAACAAUCAUGCAAACAUUCUAAUGUAUCACGGUUUGGAUUAAAUUUAUUUUUUCUGAAUGCCAGUGGUCGCAUGUAUUUGAUCGGCAAUGCGAUAGAUUUAGGAUACCUUCGGGACCCGUCUUGAAACACGGACCAAGAAGUCUAACAUGUGUGUAAGUCAUUGGGUAUUUUUGACAAAACCUAAAGGCGUAAUUAAAAUAACUAUUUUAUGGGAUUACAAGUAAUUAUAUAUGAUUGCUUCUCCAUCCCGGGGCGUUCUAUAUGAACAUGGUGCAAGCAAUUGAACCCUCUGUUCGAGAGCGUACCUUGAACAUACAUGCUGUGACCC